rnacentral:rRNA from 1 species
UAUGCAGUCGACGGUAGCACAGAGAGUUUCUCUCGGYGACSAGWGGCGGACKUKUGAGUAAUGUUUGGRAAACUGCCUGAUGRAGGGGGUAACUACUGWAAACGGUAGCUAAUACCGCAUAACGUCGCAGACAAAGAGGGGGAUUUCGGGUCUCUUGCCAUCAGKKUGCKUGAUAGAUUAGUAGUAGGUGGGGUAACGGCUCACKUAGGGACGAUCCCUAGKUGGUCUGAGAGGAUGACCSGCCAKUGGGAACUGAGAKCGSUCUAGACUCCUAGGGMAGGMAGCYUGGGGGAAUAUUGCACAAUGGGCGCAAGCCUGAUGCAGCCAUGCCGCGUGUAUGAAGAAGGCCUUCGGGUUGUAAAGUACUUUCAGCGGGGAGGAAGGUGUUGUGGUUAAUAACCACAGCAAUUGAAGUUACCCGCAGAAGAAUCACCGGCGGACUCCGUGCCCUCCGCCACGGUUAUGUGGAG